ACAGCCAUCCAUCCAUUAGUUAGGACUUCAUCCUUGUCAAAUGGACAACCAUAUCAAAUUUCCAUAUCAUCCAAUUUGCACCUAUUUCAGGUGCAUGUACCCUUCAUUUCACAUUUAUUAGAACGUGUACAGUGCCUGAGUGUGCACAGAUUGAAUGUUAACACAAUCUCGUAAGGCCAAGAUAUUUAACUAACUUAGUGCAUAUGCAAGGCUCGACCAUGCUAUUGACAUCCAGAGGUUGUCUGACCGUAUGCUUAUGAAGCCAUUUGCAAGCUUUUUAUUGCAGUAACAGAAGCAUUGCAGUACUAUCCAAAUGCAAAUUCGCUCUGCUACCAGCCCCUUCGAGCGGCAGGUUUAACCCUGACGAUUUCAGUAUAUGUGGUAAAGGGAACCUAUAAAUCACAGCUCCGGAGGUCAUGGUCCAUGCAAGGCAGUGUUGGGAUCAUAAUCGGGGCCAAAAAGUCUAACGACCCUGAUUGCAUGGUUAGGCAGGGGCUUCGCAAGUGAAGGAAGCCAAGCGUUGAUUCCACAAAAUGAAAUGGAAGCUCCUGCCCACUUCAGGUGAAGCAAAUGUAAACGUGUCGGUGACAGAAGCCCGUACCAAUGAGCUCCAACGGCGUGUUCACUGCAAUACCAAUGAGCUCCAACUUUACUGCAUUACCAAAGACGCCGUCAACGCACAGGACGCCUCAACCAGUGAAGUACUUCCGGCGGUUGUGCAAGCCAGGCAGGUCCAUGAACAGAGCCCCGGGUGAGGGCUGAGGAGCGUUGCAAGCCCGAGGGUGGGAGCUUCCGACAGGAUGUGGAGGUUGCAGUCGCUGCUCACAGCCAAGUGAUGGUUGAACUGGACUUCACAGCACUCCACUUCAGUGCAGG
rnacentral:lncRNA from 1 species